GGGGUUGUGUUAUAACCUGGUAUUAUCCAAGGUUCGGGGCCUUGUGAUCCCGGUUCGAAUCCGGGCAACCCCA
rnacentral:tRNA from 1 species